rnacentral:rRNA from 1 species
GGAUCCAGACUUUGAUUAUGGCUCAGGAUGAACGCUAGCUACAGGCUUAACACAUGCAAGUCGAGGGGCAGCAUGAACUUAGCUUGCUAAGUUUGAUGGCGACCGGCGCACGGGUGAGUAACACGUAUCCAACCUUCCGUUUACUCAGGGAUAGCCUUUCGAAAGAAAGAUUAAUACCUGAUAGUAUGGUGAGAUUGCAUGAUAGCACCAUUAAAGAUUUAUUGGUAAACGAUGGGGAUGCGUUCCAUUAGGUAGUAGGCGGGGUAACGGCCCACCUAGCCGACGAUGGAUAGGGGUUCUGAGAGGAAGGUCCCCCACAUUGGAACUGAGACACGGUCCAAACUCCUACGGGAGGCAGCAGUGAGGAAUAUUGGUCAAUGGGCGAGAGCCUGAACCAGCCAAGUAGCGUGAAGGAUGAAGGUCCUACGGAUUGUAAACUUCUUUUAUACGGGAAUAAAGUAUCCUACGUGUAGGAUUUUGUAUGUACCGUAUGAAUAAGCAUCGGCUAACUCCGUGCCAGCAGCCGCGGUAAUACGGAGGAUGCGAGCGUUAUCCGGAUUUAUUGGGUUUAAAGGGAGCGCAGACGGGAGAUUAAGUCAGUUGUGAAAGUUUGCGGCUCAACCGUAAAAUUGCAGUUGAUACUGGUUUCCUUGAGUGCAGUUGAGGCAGGCGGAAUUCGUGGUGUAGCGGUGAAAUGCUUAGAUAUCACGAAGAACCCCGAUUGCGAAGGCAGCUUGCUAAACUGUAACUGACGUUCAUGCUCGAAAGUGUGGGUAUCAAACAGGAUUAGAUACCCUGGUAGUCCACACGGUAAACGAUGGAUACUCGCUGUUGGCGAUAUACUGUCAGCGGCCAAGCGAAAGCAUUAAGUAUCCCACCUGGGGAGUACGCCGGCAACGGUGCAACUCAAAUGAAUUGACGG